GCCGCCUCCGUCCGGGUCUCCGCCUCCGGGACCUGCGGCGGUGGUGAGGUCCAGAGCACGGCUUCCCCGCGGGCGGGCGGCGUGAUGGGUUGCGGGAACUCCACUGCCACCAGCGGGGGCGCGGGCCGAGGUGCAACAGGAGCAGUUAAAGAUGCGACGGAAGACUCCAUAACAGACGACGACAAGAGGAGGUAUGUGUGCUGUCUGCAGCUGGUGUCACAAACUAUGGAGGAGUGUAUGUUGGCCUGCCCUCUGAAGCUGCCAGUAUGGUGUCUAGUCAAGCAAAGGCAGUACGAAAGACUUGCUCAUGAAUUUGGAAGGAAUUUGGCUCCAGGAACCUUGUGUCUUCAAACUAAUUCUGAAAGGUUGUCCCCUGCUGUGCCACCACUCCCAAAUCCUAACUGUGUAGUCAAAGCCAUGGGUACAUACUGAAUGUUGUGGCCACCGAAGGAAAUGGGUGAGACUUCGUGCUCACUGGGGGACUGUGUGUGCCCACCAGUGAGAGAGCCCUGAAGGCUGCUGCUACCCAGCCUGGGCCACCAGGAUUCAUAGCAGUUUCCAUCCUGGCCAUUCAACACAGUUCACAAAAUUCAUGUCUUUUCACUGACACUCUUUUGAUAGUUUUUAUAUAAUGCAAUCCUUGUAUUUAUAACAUGACAUUAGGGACAUAUAAAGGAAUUACCUGAAGUACUAUAUUGCCUCUUGUCCCUUGAUGUUUCUACUUCGUUAUUUUGUAGCUGUAAAGUUGGUAAAUGGAGUCCUACACUUAGCUCCCUUUCUUACUACUUGGUUUAAAAUUUUUAUUUAAAUGUAAGGGAAUUCCCUCUGUUGAGAGCACUGCAGUAUUUGAAAAUGAACUGUUUAAAUUUGCAUGCUGUCCUCACAUGGGUAUUAAUUCCUGUUCUCUUUAGUCAGAGGCUUACAUGGCCACAGAUUCUCCAGCUGCCCAGCUGCCUGUUCUCCUUCAUAUAAUCAGCAUUUCAUCGUGUUCAUUCCGUACUGUCUCUUAGGGCUGGCGGGUGAUGCUUGGCAGGAUGGCUACCUGGAAAGUUCUUAAUUUGCUAACAACAUGUGUACCUACUUAUGACUGUGGCGUAAGUGGCUCAGUUCACCAAUGUAUUUCCGCAAUUAAACAUUUUUAUCCCCCUUACCUGGAUUUCUUAAGUAUUUUCAAGAGAACACUUUUAAAGAAGUCACAUUUGGUAUUAUCAUGUGUAAAUACCAUGCAUCAAUAUGUGCAGAUAGCACUGUUUAAAUAGGUACCUAUGAGAAGUGGGAUUUUUUUUUCCUGCUAAGAGAAAGGCUCUGUCUUCUAUAUUUUGUUGAUAAUGAUAGUUGUAGAGCCAUCAUCACAUUGCAAGACAAAAAAGUAAACCUUACUAAGAGCUUAUGAGGCAUAUAUUCCUCUGAAUGUCCACAAGCUCACCAUGGCACUCAGGGGACAUCAAUGCUUAUAAUUAUAGCCCUGAGAAGCCUGAGGCAGGAGAGUCCGUGGUUCAAGGCAGCUGGCUACACAGUGAGUCUGAGACCAGAAUGAACUACAUGAGACCCUAUCACAAAACUUUUUAAAUUGAAAAGCAACAAAUAGCAAAUACACUGACUUUGGAAAAGUUAAUUUACAGAUAGCUUUAGAUUAAUAGCGGGAUAUAUGGAAGGAGUGGGAAUCAGUUCCAUUCUGACUGAACUCCUCUAGUUUUCCUGUGCCUUUUUUGUUGUUGCUCUAAUCCUGGAUUACAGUAUAUCCCAGUUAAAUUGAUCUACUUAGUUUCCUCUGCUUCCUGGUGACAUCUCCCUCAGCUUUUCCGUGUUUUUCAUGACCAUGAGCCCUUUGAUGCCUACUGUACAGGAAUUUUGGAAUGCACCCUUAUGUGAAGCCUCUCUGCGCUCUAAUAUUGGACUGGGACCACAGGCCUUGAGGGAGACCCCCACUGAGACGGAGUGGCCUCUCUCAUCACAUCACAUCCUGACAUCCGAGGGCCCCAGCUCAUUACUGGUGACACUCACCUUGAAAGGGUCUCAGCUCUCUCCACCAUAGUUCCUAGUUUCCCUUCUCUGAUCACUCUACCCCAAUGGUUCUCAACCUUCCUGAUGCUGCGGCCCUUUAAUUCAGUCCCUCAAUUUGUGAUGACCAUCAACUAUAAAAUUACUUUCACUGCUACUUCA